ensembl:lncRNA
CCCAGUUAACCAGGGGGAUAUCAUAUACAAACCACAGGGGUUGACUACAGGGUAGUGUGUAGGCUUUUUUUCCAGCCCAACUCUAACACACAUGAUUCAAUUAAAUCAACUAAUGAUGGUCGUCAACUGAAACAUUCUGCUUUGGGGCAACAGGACAUUUUGGAAUCAGCAGCAGUCAUGAAGGACAAAGGAAGGCAUUUUACACAAGUCUGAACUCUGCCAAUACUUACUACUUACUACACUAUCAUUUAAACCAGCCUACUCUUUGAGUAAGGUAAGGAAAUAAAACAAAAAUGUUUUAGCAACCUGGAAUCUCUACUCAAGGUUUCUUAGCACAAGAUGGCUGAGACGUGACUAAAGAAUGUAUGAAUAAAUCCCAAUUUUGUGACUCAAAUGUUGAAAUCCAAGACUUUACAGUAUGUCAACACAAUACUUACUUCCUGUUCUAAUGAAGAUAUAAAGGUGUCCACAUAUUUUGGGUGGCCACAGAGAGUGGUAGAAGACUCGGGGGGUAAUACUAUGGAAUUCUAUUUGAAGACUUUCUACACUGUGUUGGUACUGACACUGACAGGAGGCCUUGAUCCUACCAGUGUCUCAGCAGCAUCUCCUAAUCCUAGCUCAGUGUCCGUGAGGCCCAGCCCACAGCUCUCUCUCCCCAUUCUCAACCAGUCCUUCAGCCUGGACUGUAGCGGCUCCUUCCCAGGCCUGCCAGUGCUUUGGUACAAAGACGGCCAGGUUGUAGCUCCAGACGCCAGGAUAAACCUGUUGGAACACAACACCUCCCUCCACUUCAACUCCCUGCUGCCCUCUGAUGGUGGCUUCUAUCAGUGCGAGGUGACCAUGGCAAACAUGGCUGAAAGCAAGGUCAUAAGCUUGGGCUACCUGCUAAACUUUGAUCAUUGGAGUGUUAGUAUCAGUGGCCCUGACACAGUGUUGCCUGGGAGGGAAUACACCUUUACCUGCCAGGUGAACUGCACUGUCGACCUGGACUGCUCCAUCCGCUGGCCAUUGAGGGGGGGUAUCCUUACUAGCGCCUACCUCUCUGUGAGGAAGAAUAUCCUGAAAUGGAUCCCGUCGGUACCUGGUACGGUACAGAACUUCACCUGUGUGGUGGAGAACACAGCAGCUGGACGCUCUGCAGAGGCCUCCAAGACAGUGAAGGUCACAGGACCCACAGUAUCAGGAUCUGAAACAGUGAGGCUGACUGGAGUUUUAGGACUGGUCCUCUGUAUGGGACUGCUGUUCCUCCUUGAUCCCUAGGAGGGGCGCUAUAAGGCUACAGACGAUGGGAAGGACAGAGGAGAACAUUGAAUGAGUUCAGGUUCACCUUCAGAACGAAUAAUAAAACAGGAACCAACGUUUUGAAACUCUUAAUCCUGUCCAAUAAGAAUGCUUGUUUCUCAGAGUAAGAAUAUAAGGGAAUAAGAAUGUUUCCUCUGUUGUGGGAUAAUGAUAGUUGAGUCAUUGGAAGUUUCCAGUGAAUUAUGUUUAUCAUCCACAUGCAGUGGGUAACGAUGAGAAAAUAACAAAACGUACAUAUUGAUGUUAUCUAUGUAAUAUUUUAUUUUUUGCAACACCUACUGUAUUAUUAUUAUCUUUGUUGUUGUCGAGAUGACCUUGUAAAAUAAACUCCCAAAUGAGUGUGGUAAGAGAUAGCUGUCUCUGUAUGGAGUUGUCAACUUUGGUCUUUGAUUGGCGUAGCCAGCAUACCUCCAGAUCCACUGCCAGACAUACCAGCAGAGUACACUGUACUGUCCCUCCCCUCACUAGGGAGCAGAGACAACCCUGCUGUCUUCAAGGAAAAGUCCUAUGAAAAGCUGCUGUUAUAAUCACACUAUCUUCACACCAUAACAUCACUUGUUUAUGUGAGAGUGGUAUUAUGAGACUAGCCUGACCUACAUUCACAGAAGUCGUUUCAUAACAUGAUAGUAUACUGUAGGCUGUCAGUGUGUAGGCUUAUAUAGCUAAUGUAGCCUACUUAUUGCAAAGGCUAACCUGAUGUACAAGUUGUACAACUCUUUACGCCAGUCCUAGCACCAUGUCCAACACAAUCGCACACAUUCAAAUGUAUUUGUUGGCAAAUCCAUUUCUGUGCGAUAAGGCCAUUUCAAUCUCAGGCCAUGUUUGCCUACCCUGUUUGGUCAGGGCAUGAUAUGGUGAAAUUGAACAAUGGACACCAUUUGUCAUGGACCCAGAAUACCACAAAGUAGAUAUUGAAGCUAACCUCAAACCUGGAAAUGGCACAUGAGGAGGCGUUCAUUUAUCAUUACAUCUGGCACAAUGCCAUUGGUUUAUUUAUCAUUUACAGCAUAACUAUACUGGAUGCAUCAUACUCAAACAUCUGUUUUGAUACACUCCUUUAUUUAUGACCACAUCAUUUGCAUUCUAUUGGAAGUGAAAGCAUUAUUCAAACAGUAUCUGGUAGUUAGUGCGCCUAUCCCUAACCAUGACCCUAACCCUAACACUAGCUUCAUGUCCACACAUACACACAGAACUCAAUGUGUAUUCGGUAGGCCAAGCUUUGAAAAACUACAAACCUCAAUGUCCCACUUCCUGGUUGGAUUUUUCUCAGGUUUUCGCCUGCCAUAUGAGUUCUGUUAUACUCACAGACAUCAUUCAAACAAUUUUAGAAACUUCAGAGUGUUUUCUAUCAAAUACUAAUAAUACUAUGCAUAUAUUAGCAUCUGGGACAGAGUAGGAGGCAGUUCACUCUGGGCACGCUAUUCAUCCAAAAGUGAAAAUGCUGCCCCUUAUCCCAAAAAGGAUAACAUAGACUGACUAGGUGAAUACAGGUGAAAGCUAUGGUUCCUUAUUGAUGUAACUUGCUAUAUCCACUUCAAUCAGUGUAGAUGAAGAGGGGGGGGGGGGCAGGUUAAAGGAGGAUGUUUAAGCCUUGAGACAAUUAAGACAUGGAUUGUGUAUGUGUGCCAUUCAGAGGGUGAAUGAGCAAGAGAAAAUGUUUAAAUGCCGGGGUACAGGGACACCUACUAACGGGAUACGGUAGUAGGUGCCAGGCGCAUCGGUAUGAGUGUGUCAAGAACUGCAACGCUGCUGGGUUUUUCGUGCUCAACAGUUUCCUGUGUGUAUCAAGAAUACUACACACCUAAAGGACAUCAUGCCAACUUGACACAACUGUGGGAAACAUUGGAGUCAACAUGGGCCUGUGGAAUGCUUUCGACACCUUGUAGAGUCCAUGCCCCGACGAUUUGAGACUGUUCUGAGGGCAAAAUGGGGCGCUACUCAAUAUUAGGAAGGAUUGAUUAUGAUUUCCAUGGGACAAUUUCACUGUAACCUACCUCUUCUACAUGUGUAGAGUAGACAGGGUAGACAGGGAAGAUGUAAGAAGGCAGGGGAUGCUUAUGGGGGGAACACAGGAGAAGGAAGUGUGCGACAUUAAAAAGGGCACUUACACCACCAAAAGGAAUGUACACUAAUAUCAGACAUGGGAACUGUUCUGAUGUUGUGUAAAUAUAUAACAUGAAAUACAACACUUGUUACAUGAGCAGGCAGAACAUUCAGGCUCUGAAUAGAGAUUAGUACAAUAUCCCACUGUUCAACUCAGCUCUCAUGUUUUGAUGGUGUUAUGAUAGGGUGCUUGUUCACUCUCUCAGGGCUCUAUGUUGACCUCUUACCCUCAACCUGAGAGCGUUGUAAUACAGCAUGUGGGUACUUAUAAUGGUUUCAUAGAAUAGCUGAGUGUCUUUCGCAUGACCAGUUUGUUCCUCUAUUCAUGCUCCUUGGUUGGACAGUUAGAUAACGACAGGCAGCAUACCUUUUCCUCCACUGUUCAUCAAUCAAACCUGAUCUGGCAUAGACCCACAUAGGUGUGCUCAGGUGUUCCCUGAUUGGAACCUGCCCCCACAAUUCUACAGGUGUAGACCUGGGAGAAGUGAAAGGCAUGUGUUUUGCCUUGUUACACAAACACUGCCAGGAAUAACAGAGGGAGAUUUCUCAAUAUUUGUGAAAGUUGUGAAAUGGGGAUGUAAAUUAUGUACUGUAUGAUGUUACAAUAUCACAGACACAAUAUAUAUAUAUAUAUAUUUUAUCUAGGCAUGUCAGUUAAGAACAAAUUCUUCAAUGACGGCCUAGGAACAGUGGGUUAACUGCCUUGUUCAGGGGCAGAGCGACAGAUUUGUACCUUGUCAGCUCGGGGAUUUGAUCUUGUAACCUUUCAGUUACCAGUCCAACGCUCUUACCUCUAGGCUACCUGCCACCCCAAUAUGAUACUUGAUGUACAAUAUGUACCGUUCUAUUCUGUACUUGCUGACUACAUUAUAAACAUUUAACACAUUUUGUUGUCAUGGUGUUUUGUAAGAGACUGUAGCCCUGUUCCAAAACAGUAAAACUGUUGUCAGAAAAUAUAGACUUAAACUACACACAAUUAAAUAGUAUAGAAGUAAUACUAUUUAUAUGUAUUUUUAUGUCUAAUUGAUCUGUGAAAAUAUUUGUAAUGAUUCUUUACUACAAUGCCAUUGCCACAAUAAGGCUACAUACUCUGUAAAAGUG